AAGAUGAGCUUGCAAGGGAUGAAAUGAUUGGACAUUUUAUCUCACAAUUCUGACUUUUCUUGAAUUUCUGAGAAAAAAAGUCUGAAUUGUAAGAUAUUGUCAGACUCUGUUUCAUGUCUCGUGUUGUGUUUUCCUUCCCCACGUGCUCCAGUUUGAUUAUGCCCUUAUAUGGUUUUUCCAUUUCUGUCAUUAUGUUUCAUUUGUUCCAGGUGUGUCUCUUUAGUUACUGUGUAUUUAAAGUGUGUUCUGCCCCUCGUUCCCGUCCUCUGUUAAUUAUCAUUUUGUGUUCUGUGGUUCAGCUUUGUGUUGAGUAAAUACUUGGAAUUUACUUUACCUCUCGUCUCCUCUCUCCUUCGUUCCCAUGCUCCCAGUGUGUACCAUGACUGAUAUAAGCUUGCAAUUGUGAGGAAAAAUCAAGCUUGAUGCUUCCAGUCCACCAGUGAGGUCUAGUCCAAGGUCAAGGUCUCCUGCAUCUACAGUGGAAGAGUUUGAUGAAUGUGAUCAAUCAUGUUUAAGAGCUGAUAUACAGUCUGUCCUCCUGCAGGAGAAAUCAGUUCCUGAGCAGCUAAAACACACAUCCAGCGCUGCUGCUCCAGCCGUCACUGAUAGAGAUACCAGACGGACAACAGCUAUAGCAAUGCAUCCAAACCUAGAAACUACACACUACAGACAUCCAGCUUCUGCUUUUGAGGACGAGACACUACUGUUUUUCCCUCCUGCACGGAGUCUAACCUUUGCCUCACCAGCAUUCACUACUUUAUAGUUUUAUGCCUAUCUAUAAACUGUUUUUACAGAGCGGUUUGUUCAUCAUUCAGCUGAUUUAUAUACCUCUUUAUUCCAUGGAGAAAACAUACUUGUUUAUUUCCUGGCUGUCGACAGUCGUUUCUGAUAAAAAGAGAUCAAAUAAACCUGGCUUAAUGCAGUGUUCAGGUUUCCGUUCUAGAAAUGUAUGCAAAGUCGUGCAUAUUAAAUUAAACACAGUUUGCAUAUUUAAAUAUAACAUUUCAGAAUCAGCUGUUUUACUGUGCUGUGUGCUAUAUGGUAUGAUAUAAACAGUGAGAUCUGCUAAUCUGUCAUUUUCGUUCAAGCUGCUAUUAAUAUGACAUCUAAACAAUAACACGAACUGUAAUGUAAAAGUUUUUUUAGAAUUAAUUGUUGGUUAUCUUUUACAGUAAAUACAUAAUUUUACUGUAUGGACACUGAAGUAGAAAGGAUGAUGUACCGUUGGUUAUUUCUAGGUGUGUGAUGCUUCACAUUUGUUUGUUUUAUUUAAACAGUAUUGUUUUUCUG
ensembl:lncRNA